rnacentral:rRNA from 1 species
UACAGAGGGGGCAAGCGUUGUUCGGAAUUACUGGGCGUAAAGGGCGCGUAGGCGGCCUGCUAAGUCGAACGUGAAAUCCCCGGGCUCAACCCGGGAACUGCGUCCGAUACUGGUAGGCUUGAAUUCGGGAGAGGGAUGCGGAAUUCCAGGUGUAGCGGUGAAAUGCGUAGAUAUCUGGAGGAACACCGGUGGCGAAGGCGGCAUCCUGGACCGGUAUUGACGCUGAGGCGCGAAAGCUAGGGGAGCAAACGGG